GAAAGAACGGAUCCUUCCUACAACACCAAAAAAGUUUCUACGGGAGUUCCGAAACCAGCGGUUUCGGAAAUGUGGCGAAGAGGCUUUACCAGCAGCUACACGGCUGGUGCGCAAGCACUAAAGGAGAAGAAAUGGGACGCAUUGGUGAUCGGCGGUGGGCAUAAUGGCUUGACAGCCGCGGCUUACUUGGCUCGUGGCGGCUUAUCCGUUGCCGUGAUCGAGCGACGCCACGUCAUCGGUGGGGCAGCCGUAACCGAAGAAAUUAUUCCUGGCUUCAAAUUCUCUCGCUGCAGCUACCUCCAAAGCCUCCUCCGCCCCUCCGUUAUCAGAGAGCUAGAAUUAAAGAGGCAUGGCUUGAAGUUGUUGAAGCCGACAGCGACGUCGUUUACGCCAUGUCUUGAUGGGCGUUACCUUCUAAUGGGGUACGAUGAUCAUCAUAACUACUUGGAGAUAUCAAAGUUUUCCAAACGUGACGCGGACGCUUAUCCUAGAUAUGAAAAUCAGCUAUAUAAGUUCUGUAAAUUGAUGGACUUUCUUUUGGAUUCACGUACCCCUGAAACCUUGCACUGGGAUUCAUCAUUUACUGAUCGUCUGUGGGAUAAGUUAGAAAAAUCGGUGUUUUGGGCUUCCUGCCUGAGGCAUAUUUUCGCUUUGGGGCAAAAGGAUAUGGUGGAUUUUAUGGACCUUUUAUUGUCCCCUACAUCAAAGGUUCUAAAUAAGUGGUUUGAGAGUGAUAUACUGAAGGCAGUACUUGCUGGAGAUGCUAUUAUUGGAAGUAUGGCAAGCAUUCAUACACCUGGCAGUGGAUAUGUUCUACUACAUCAUGUGAUGGGUGAAACUGAUGGUGAUCGUAAUAUAUGGUUGCAUGUUGAAGGUGGGAUGGGCUCUAUAUCCAUGGCCAUAAGUAAUGCUGCAAGCGAAGCUGGGGUUUCUAUUGCGACAAACGCAGAAGUGUCACAAUUAAUGAUUGGAGAUUCUGGUACAGUAAAAGGGGUGUUGCUAGCUGAUGGGACAAGAGUACAUUCUUCAGUUGUUCUAUCGAAUGCAACCCCUUACAAGACCUUCCUGGGAUUGGUGCCUCAAGAUGUUCUUCCUGAUGAUUUUCUCCGUGCUAUCAAGUACUCUGACUACAACUCUGGAACCACAAAAAUCAAUGUAGCUGUUGAUAAAUUGCCCCAGUUCCAUUGUUGCAGAUCAAAUAAUCCAGAAGGGGGUCCUCAGCAUACAGCUACUAUUCACAUUGGUUCUGAAAGCAUGGAGGAGAUAGGAUCAGCUUGUCAGGAAGCUUGGAAUGGCUUACCUUCAAAACGGCCUGUUAUGGAGAUGACAAUUCCUUCUUCACUGGACAAGACUAUUUCUCCUCCUGGGGGAGCUUAUUGGAGAGGGACAACGUACGAUUAUCAGUUGAUAAAGAAUUUAAUGUUAUCGAAAGCAUGUGGUUAGCUUGUUCACCCAAUACACACCUUAUAAACCCUCCGAUGGUAGUUGGGAAAAUCCUACAUACCGAGAAUCAUAUGCACAGAGAUGCUUUAGCUUGAUUGAUGAAUAUGCUCCUGGCUUCAGCUCAUCGGUUAUUGGUUAUGACAUGCUGACACCACCUGAUCUUGAAAGAGAAUUUGGUCUAACAGGAGGAAACAUUUUCCAUGGUGCCAUGGGACUGGACUCACUCUUCUUGAUGAGACCUGCGAAAGGAUGGUCUGGUUACAGGACACCCAUAAGAGGGCUGUACCUCUGUGGAAGUGGAGCACAUCCUGGUGGUGGAGUGAUGGGUGCAGCCGGACGUAAUGCUGCACGCAUUGUCCUUAGGGAUUUUAAGAAGCAUUCUUCUUAGGAAUUUUGUUAUGCUCUAACCUUUUUCGGGUGCUCAUAGUCUCAAACUUAAAUGAAAAGCUAAUUAAAGCUUAAAAUUUCUUGCUCA